AGUGAACGCUGGCGGUAGGCCUAACACAUGCAAGUCGAACGGCAGCACAGUAAGAGCUUGCUCUUACGGGUGGCGAGUGGCGGACGGGUGAGGAAUACAUCGGAAUCUACUUUUUCGUGGGGGAUAACGUAGGGAAACUUACGCUAAUACCGCAUACGACCUACGGGUGAAAGCAGGGGAUCUUCGGACCUUGCGCGAUUGAAUGAGCCGAUGUCGGAUUAGCUAGUUGGCGGGGUAAAGGCCCACCAAGGCGACGAUCCGUAGCUGGUCUGAGAGGAGGAUCAGCCACACUGGAACGGAGACACGGUCCAGACUCCUACGGGAGGCAGCAGUGGGGAAUAUUGGGCAAUGGGCGCAAGCCUGAUCCAGCCAUACCGCGUGGGUGAAGAAGGCCUUCGGGUUGUAAAGCCCUUCUGUUGGGAAAGAAAAGCAGCAGGCUAAUACCCCGCUGUUCUGACGGUACCCAAAGAAUAAGCACCGGCUAACUUCGUG
rnacentral:rRNA from 1 species